UACGUAGGGUGCAAGCGUUAAUCGGAAUUACUGGGCGUAAAGCGUGCGCAGGCGGUUUUGUAAGUCUGUCGUGAAAGCCCCGGGCUCAACCUGGGAAUUGCGAUGGAGACUGCAAGGCUUGAAUCUGGCAGAGGGGGGUAGAAUUCCACGUGUAGCAGUGAAAUGCGUAGAGAUGUGGAGGAACACCGAUGGCAGGACGAGCCCAGCCCUGGGUCAAGAUUGACGCUCAUGCACGAAAGCGUGGGGAGCAAACAGG
rnacentral:rRNA from 1 species